GACGAACGCGGCGGCGUGCUUAACACAUGCAAGUCGAACGGAGCGAAUGAAAGCUUGCUUUUAUGAGCUUAGUGGCAAACGGGUGAGUAACACGUAGACAACCUGCCGACAGGAUGGGGACAACAUUCCGAAAGGAAUGCUAAUACCGAAUGAAGCGGAGGAGAGGCAUCUCUCCUCCGUGAAAGAUGGCCUCUAUUUAUAAGCUAUCACCUGUCGAUGGGUCUGCGUCUGAUUAGCUAGUUGGUGAGGUAACGGCUCACCAAGGCGACGAUCAGUAGCCGGUCUGAGAGGAUGAACGGCCACAUUGGGACUGAGACACGGCCCAGACUCCUACGGGAGGCAGCAGUGGGGAAUCUUCCGCAAUGGGCGCAAGCCUGACGGAGCAACGCCGCGUGAGUGAAGAAGGUCUUCGGAUCGUAAAGCUCUGUUGACGGGGACGAACGUACGGAGUGCGAAUAGUGCUCUGUAAAG
rnacentral:rRNA from 1 species